AGCGGGCAGAAAUAAUUACAACGGGUCUCAGAGAUUUCCAAACCUCUGCCGGCGGUUGUGCGGCGACAUAGGGCCUCCCCCAGGUACUGGGGUGUGAACUCGGAGAGCUACCUGAUGUCGCGCCCCUCGGGGACAGAGGCGCGGCCCCAAACCCUCCACGCUUCUACAAGAACCCCCUACUCAAAAUGGAGGCUCAGGCCGGUGUAAAGCCGGCCUCCCUCUGACGGCACGCGGGCCGGUCGGGGCUGCGGCAGGACGGCGGGCGGAGGUCCCGGCGCGGAACCGCGAAGGCCGUGUCUGUGCGGCAACACCCCAGAUCCUUCCAAGAAGAGAGUUGUUGGGAGGCCUCAGGUCUGGGCACCUCUCAGCUCCUGGCCCUGCCUGGCUGCUCUGUGUCCUCUCUCUUCUUUCACUUCCUCCAAACAUUGCUCCUUCAAUCCUGCAGGAUGGGGAGCAUAUUUUGCCUUCUUAAUUUGUUUUUUUUCCCUCUUCUCAAGAAAGCUAGACUCAGAGUAUUGCUAUGACCUCUCUCUAUCCUUAGCACAAAUCU
rnacentral:lncRNA from 1 species